AUACGGAGGGGGCUAGCGUUGUUCGGAAUUACUGGGCGUAAAGCGCACGUAGGCGGCGCACGCAGUCAGAGGUGAAAGGCCUGGGCUCAACCCAGGAACUGCCUUUGAUACUGGUGUGCUAGAGUCCGGGAGAGGGUAGCGGAAUUCCCAGUGUAGAGGUGAAAUUCGUAGAUAUUGGGAAGAACACCGGUUGCGAAGGCGGCUACCUGGAACGGUACUGACGCUGAGGUGCGAAAGCGUGGGGAGCAAACAGGAUUAGAUACCCCGGUAGUCC
rnacentral:rRNA from 1 species